rnacentral:rRNA from 1 species
GUAGCAAACAGGAUNAGAUACCNUGGUAGUCCACGCCGUAAACGAUGAGUACUAGGUGUAGGAGGUAUCGACCCCUUNUGUGCCGCAGUAAACACAAUAAGUACUCCGCCUGGGAAGUACGAUCGCAAGAUUAAAACUCAAAGGAAUUGACGGGGGCCCGCACAAGCAGCGGAGCAUGUGGUUUAAUUCGAAGCAACGCGAAGAACCUUACCUGGACUUGACAUACCCUGAAUAUCUUAGAGAUAAGAGAAGCCCUUCGGGGCAGGGAUACAGGUGGUGCAUGGUUGUCGUCAGCUCGUGUCGUGAGAUGUUAGGUUAAGUCCCGCAACGAGCGCAACCCCUAUUAUUAGUUGCUAACAUUAAGUUGAGCACUCUAGUGAGACUGCCCGGGUUAACCGGGAGGAAGGUGGGGAUGACGUCAAAUCAUCAUGCCCCUUAUGUCUAGGGCUACACACGUGCUACAAUGGUGGGAACAAAGAGAUGCAAUACCGCGAGGUGGAGCCAAACUCAAAACCCCAUCCCAGUUCGGAUUGUAGGCUGAAACUCGCCUACAUGAAGCUGGAGUUGCUAGUAAUCGCGAAUCAGAAUGUCGCGGUGAAUACGUUCCCGGGCCUUGUACACACCGCCCGUCACACCAUGAGAGUCGGCAACACCCGAAGCCCGUGAGGCAACCUUUUGGAGCCAGCGGUCGAAGGUGGGGUUGAUGAUUGGGGUGAAGUCGUAACAAGGUAGCCGUAGGAGAACCUGCGGCUG